rnacentral:rRNA from 1 species
GACGAACGCUGGCGGCGUGCUUAACACAUGCAAGUCGAGCGGUAAGGCCCUUUCGGGGGUACACGAGCGGCGAACGGGUGAGUAACACGUGGGUGACCUGCCUUCAGCUCUGGGAUAAGCCUGGGAAACCGGGUCUAAUACCGGAUAUGACCUCAUGACGCAUGUUGUGGGGUGGAAAGCCUUUGUGCGGCUGGGGAUGGGCCCGCGGCCUAUCAGCUUGUUGGUGGGGUGAUGGCCACCAAGGCGACGACGGGUAGCCGGCCUGAGAGGGCGACCGGCCACACUGGGACUGAGACACGGCCCAGACUCCUACGGGAGGCAGCAGUGGGGAAUCUUGCGCAAUGGGCGGAAGCCUGACGCAGCGACGCCGCGUGAGGGAUGACGGCCU